rnacentral:rRNA from 1 species
UAGGGAAUAUUGCACAAUGGGCGCAAGCCUGAUGCAGCAACGCCGCGUGAGGGACGACGGCCUUCGGGUUGUAAACCUCUUUUAGUAGGGAAGAAGCGAAAGUGACGGUACCUGCAGAAAAAGCACCGGCUAACUACGUGCCAGCAGCCACGGUAAUACGUAGGGUGCAAGCGUUGUCCGGAAUUAUUGGGCGUAAAGAGCUCGUAGGCGGUUCGUCGCGUCUGCUGUGAAACCCCGAGGCUCAACCUCGGGCCUGCAGUGGGUACGGGCAGACUAGAGUGCGGUAGGGGAGAUUGGAAUUCCUGGUGUAGCGGUGGAAUGCGCAGAUAUCAGGAGGAACACCGAUGGCGAAGGCAGAUCUCUGGGCCGUAACUGACGCUGAGGAGCGAAAGCAUGGGGAGCAAACAGGAUUAGAUACCCUGGUAGUCCAUGCCGUAAACGUUGGGAACUAGAUGUAGGGUCCAUUCCACGGAUUCUGUGUCGCAGCUAACGCAUUAAGUUCCCCGCCUGGGGAGUACGGCCGCAAGGCUA